GGGGUUGUGGCUCAGUGGUAGAGUGUUCGCCUUGCAAGUGAGACCCUAGAUUCGAUCCUCAGCACCA
rnacentral:tRNA from 1 species